AGGAGUGUCAUCUGCUGUAUUUGGUCUGGACUGCCAUUCGCACAAAGCCAGAGAUGAUAAAGCACUCUACUUCUAUUAAUAUCAAUGAAGGGACUGAAGUACAGGACGGUCAUUUCGAAAAAACAUGACACAUAGUAUCUUAAGGUUACACAACAAAUAAAUUGAAUUACUUUACUGAAAAACUAAA